UCGGUGGGGGCGUGAUCAGUGCAGGAGCAGCCCAGGAAGUAGUAAGGCGGGAGCUCCGGCUUGGAAUGGCGGACAGGGCCAAAUCCGAGGCGCGGGUGGCGGAGGAGACGUUGCGCGCCUGGGAACGUGAUCAAGCACAGCUGAAGGCAGAUGUAAUUGAGCAGGACACCCAAGAGUGGCAAAGCAACCCCUCCUUUGCUGGACUGGAGAGAGUUGGAGGAGCGGACCUGUCUUACAUCAAAGAAGAUGACACAAGUGCCUGUGCUUCACUGGUGGUGCUCAGCUACCCAGACCUUGAGGUCCUGUAUGAAGACUGUUGCAUGGUAGCUGUGAAUGCCCCAUACGUGGCAGGUUUCCUGGCCUUCAGAGAAGUCCCUUUUCUUGUGGAGGCCCUGCAGCGGCUAGAGCGAAAAGAGCCUGGUCUCAGGCCCCAGGUUCUACUCGUAGAUGGAAAUGGCAUUCUCCACCACAGAGGCUUUGGCAUUGCCUGCCAUCUUGGUGUGCUCACAGGCCUCCCCUGUGUUGGUGUAGCCAAAAACCUCCUGCAGGUUGAUGGUCUGGCCAAUGAUGAGCUGCACAAGGAACAGAUCCAAGACCUUCAGGCAGGAGGAGACACAUUCCCCCUAUUGAGUACUUCAGGGAAAAUCUUGGGUAUGGCUUUGCGCAGCUACGCCAAGAGCACCAAACCCGUGUAUGUCUCUGUGGGCCACAAGAUGAGCCUUCUGUCCGCUGUGCAGUUAGUGCACUCCUGCUGCAGGUAUCGGGUUCCUGAGCCCAUCCGGCAGGCCGACAUAAGAUCCAGAGAGUACAUCCGGAAUCAUUUGGAAGCUGUCUCUGCAUCACCUCAGCCAGAGAGAUCUGCAAUCCAAAUGUGGUGCUAUGUCCAAAUAAUAAACCAGAAUCCAUUUUUUUUUAAUGCUGUCCUUAUUAUUGUCCUUUCGCCGCACUUAUGACCUGCCUGUUAUCUGUAGUGGCUUCAUUUUCAGCCCCUAGUCUCAUUUUCAGCCUAGAAUGUCCACUGACCCUGGGACCACCUCCAUUCAUAAUACGCAAGCUCUGCCUUGGAGGUUAAAGGCAGCCAGGGAAGCUGUUUUGGAGAUGCUUCCCCUCCGUAAUCUGACAGUUGCCUUCAGGCUGAAGCUCUUGGAGGAGCAGGGAUCGUAAUCCUGGCAGGGAGUGAGUGAUAGGUGUUUUAAGUGAGUGCAAGUGUCAGCCCCCCUGAAAGGCUAUUAGCAUUUAUCUGAAGGCGGGAUAAUGGAAGAGGUGAAGAUGAGGCAGGCCAAGUCCCUCUGCAGAGAGCUGGCAAAUUGCCCUCCUACCCUUUGGAGCCUGAUGCAUGCAGGAUUCUGCAUUCGUUCAGGCCACUGGGGUUUGAGAACCAUCUGCCACCAUCCCAGCUGUUGUUGUCUCUGUUCAGCUCAAGGGGUGCUGAGUGCAGGAUACACCCCCAGCAUGCGCUGCCCCAGGCCAAGGCUCUUGUGCCCUCCCGUCCCAUGCUGCUCCUGCUUUUUAUGAUACGCCUAGUUGUGUUUGCAUGUGUGUGUGUGUGUGUGUGUGUGUGUGUGCAUGUGCUGGGAGUGUUUACCAGGGCUGCAAGUUUUUAACAGGUUUGCGUUGCUCAGUGUAACCCCCAAAUGGCGCUGUGCUUGAUCUAGUCUAGAUUCAGGAAAGGUACAUGAAUUCUGAAUUUAUUGUUAUUCACAUUUUAUACUGUAUUUUAUGCUGUUUUUUUGUUGCAUCAAUUAAGUGUUUUAAAGUUGUUGUUAGCCGCCCUGAGCCCGGUUUUUGAACCGGGAAGGGGAGGGUACAAAUACAAAAUUAUUAUUAUUUAUUAUUAUGAGCGGUGGAUUCUCUCCACCCCCAGAUCAUGGAUUCCUCGGUGCUUUUGGUUCUAUGCUCCUUUUACACAUUCUAGCCUAAAAAGGGAAAGACACUCAGAUGUAGGUGCUUAUCCUGCCCACACCUUCCAAAAGGAUGAGUGAAGACACAGACUCUGAACAUUAAUGCAGCAUUGAGGACGUUCUCUGAAACCUCUUUGUCCAGGGACAAGUGACACAACGACCUCCCAGCUGCUCUGUGACUUCUGUUGACUUCCCUGUGCAGACGUUCAGCAGAAGGAACAAUGGAGCUUCAGUGCCACCAACAUCGUGGCCCUGAUCCCCCAGUCGUACAGCUGGGGCAAUCUCGGGGCUGCUUCUCACCUUUGUAGCAGGAAAAACUCUGUUACCAGAGCCCAGACUAGAUGCAAUGUUAGUUGCACAAAGAAGAAAAUGUACACAGCACUACUGCAAUAGGAACAGGUAAAAGUUUGAAUUCGUGUGUCGGGGCAAUGGGAAUAGCAUUUGUGGGGACCCUGGGAGUGAAGUGUAACUCUUUCCUUGCCUACCAGAGUCCCACCUCUUCCCCAAAGCUACUAUUUGCAUUUCGGAGGAAGGGCUUGUUUACACUUCCACUUCUCCUGUGCCUAGAAAGCAGUUUUGCACUUGACCUUUGUCCCGCAGCUUUCCCCUGAAAAACCCACUCUUCGGUGCUAAACCAGAACAAACAGCAAACCUAGUUGUGAUUAGCCUCAGGUUCCCACUGGCACUAAUAGAAAUGCAAAUAGUUGUAUUGGAGAAGCAGGUCUUCUCGGAACCACAACAGAGUUCAAGUCCCCUUCCUCCUCAUGGUCUUGAGGCUGCUCCCUCUUCCCUGUGGGCGAAUUGCUUUCACACAACUUGCAUCGCCUCUAGUUCAGCCCUUGAUUGGGAAACUGCAUUCUACCCCGGUUGCUCUCAAUAAAAAUUUGGGCAGGUCCAUACAUUACAUUUUUCUAUGCACACAUUUAGAGAGCAUUGUCUUAAGCUUGCAAUGCGUGAAGAAGAAGCCCCAAGUCCUGCUGUGAAAGGAGUGGAAACUGAGAAGUGGGCAUGCAAGAGCGUCACCUGUGCCUGUCUGUCUUCUUUUCUGACACAGCCACACGCAGGUCAGGAAGAAAGCAUUGCUUCUGUUUGUAAGAUCUUAGUCAUAUUUGAGAUCUUCAAAGUGCCGAAAAUAAACCUUUGUUGGUAAUCUC